GAUGAACGCUGACAGAAUGCUUAACACAUGCAAGUCGAUGGGGAAGUGGUGCUUGCACCAUGGCAACCAUGGCGGACGGGUGAGUAACGCGUAAGGGACUUACCUGCAGGACUGGGAUAACAGGGGGAAACUCCUGACAAGACCGGAUAAUGUCAUGGAGCUGCAUGGCUUUAUGAUGAAAGGAGACGCCUGCGGAGAGCCUUGCGUCCUAUUAGCUAGUUGGUGAGGUAAUGGCUCACCAAGGCGAAGAUAGGUAGCCGGCCUGAGAGGGUGGACGGCCACAAGGGGACUGAGAUACGGCCGUUAGGCCUACGGGAGGCAGCAGUGGGGAAUAUUGGACAAUGGGGGCAACUCUGAUGCAGCAAUUCUGUGUGCACGAAGAAGGUUUUCGGAUUGUAAAGUGCUUUCAGCAGGGAAGAAGUAAGUGACGGUACCUGCAGAAGAAGCGACGGCUAAAUACGUG
rnacentral:rRNA from 1 species